UCUAAGACUAGAGUCACAUCCUGACACGGCUCUUCUCCAAUGUGCUGGAGUCCUCAGCAUCUGCUGGUCUUUAUUCACUGAUGGGGGCAACCAGUGUCCCCUUAAGUGUCCGGGCAGAAACAUAC
ensembl:snoRNA